rnacentral:rRNA from 1 species
GCGAUCAUACCAGCACUAAUGCACCGGAUCCCAUCAGAACUCCGAAGUUAAGCGUGCUUGGGCGAGAGUAGUACUAGGAUGGGUGACCCUCGGGGAAGUCCUCGUGUUGCACCA